rnacentral:rRNA from 1 species
GACGAACGCUGGCGGCGCGCCUAACACAUGCAAGUCGAACGAGCGAGAGAGAGCUUGCUUUCUCGAGCGAGUGGCGAACGGGUGAGUAACGCGUGAGGAACCUGCCUCAAAGAGGGGGACAACAGUUGGAAACGACUGCUAAUACCGCAUAAGCCCACGGCUCGGCAUCGAGCAGAGGGAAAAGGAGCAAUCCGCUUUGAGAUGGCCUCGCGUCCGAUUAGCUAGUUGGUGAGGUAACGGCCCACCAAGGCAACGAUCGGUAGCCGGACUGAGAGGUUGAACGGCCACAUUGGGACUGAGACACGGCCCAGACUCCUACGGGAGGCAGCAGUGGGGAAUAUUGCACAAUGGGGGAAACCCUGAUGCAGCGACGCCGCGUGGAGGAAGAAGGUCUUCGGAUUGUAAACUCCUGUUGUUGAGGAAGAUAAUGACGGUACUCAACAAGGAAGUGACGGCUAACUACGUGCCAGCAGCCGCGGUAAAACGUAGGUCACAAGCGUUGUCCGGAAUUACUGGGUGUAAAGGGAGCGCAGGCGGGAAGACAAGUUGGAAGUGAAAUCUAUGGGCUCAACCCAUAAACUGCUUUCAAAACUGUUUUUCUUGAGUAGUGCAGAGGUAGGCGGAAUUCCCGGUGUAGCGGUGGAAUGCGUAGAUAUCGGGAGGAACACCAGUGGCGAAGGCGGCCUACUGGGCACCAACUGACGCUGAGGCUCGAAAGUGUGGGUAGCAAACAGGAUUAGAUACCCUGGUAGUCCACACCGUAAACGAUGAUUACUAGGUGUUGGAGGAUUGACCCCUUCAGUGCCGCAGUUAACACAAUAAGUAAUCCACCUGGGGAGUACGACCGCAAGGUUGAAACUCAAAGGAAUUGACGGGGGCCCGCACAAGCAGUGGAGUAUGUGGUUUAAUUCGACGCAACGCGAAGAACCUUACCAAGUCUUGACAUCCUGCGACGCACAUAGAAAUAUGUGUUUCCUUCGGGACGCAGAGACAGGUGGUGCAUGGUUGUCGUCAGCUCGUGUCGUGAGAUGUUGGGUUAAGUCCCGCAACGAGCGCAACCCUUACUGUCAGUUACUACGCAAGAGGACUCUGGCAGGACUGCCGUUGACAAAACGGAGGAAGGUGGGGAGGACGUCAAAUCAUCAUGCCCUUUAUGACUUGGGCUACACACGUACUACAAUGGCGUUAAACAAAGAGAAGCAAGACCGCGAGGUGGAGCAAAACUCAGAAACAACGUCCCAGUUCGGACUGCAGGCUGCAACUCGCCUGCACGAAGUCGGAAUUGCUAGUAAUCGUGGAUCAGCAUGCCACGGUGAAUACGUUCCCGGGCCUUGUACU